rnacentral:lncRNA from 1 species
CGGCACCGGCUGGGGUAUCGGCUGGAGAAGAUGCGACGCAUGCCGACUGGGUGUACCUAACCCAUUUCUCAAUGGAGCCUGAAACAGUGCAGGAGCAAAGGCGCGGGUGGAAGGUUACUAGAAAGAAAGCUGGAACUGCUUUGUUCUGCCCUUCUUCUGGAGUCUGAGUUUUCCCUCCAAAGAUAAAAUGGUGGGGCUGCGUAUCUCUGACAACGGCUUGAACAGAAAGCACACACCUCUUCAACCACAUGAUGCAGAACACAUGCUGCACGAGGCACAAUCAAUCACAAACGGGUCCAGAAGGUACUGUCCAGCAUAUCUCACCAAGAUGCUUUAUCUUCAUCUUUUGAUAAGUGAUCUGAUGAUGGCUCUCGUUAUGGAACCUAUUAGCAAGUGGAUGCCCAAGCAAGUAGUGGAUUGGAUGAAAGGUGAUCUGAUGCAGUGUCUGUGCAGCACUCGUGUGUAGUUUGGGGAGAUACAAGGAGCGUAAGGUGCCGGUGGCUGGUCUGAGGAAUCCUGAUGCUUUGGUGACAUGUCCUGAUUCGUUCAGGCUUCCCAGCUUGUGCUGCUCUGUGUGAGGCUCUGCGUCUCCGGCGGCCCCGGUACCGAGGACAGUGCAUCCUGCGCCCGAUGUGGGGCGGGCAGUGGGAAGCGUGCGGUGCUGAGCAUGGCUUCGCGGGGGAAACUCUUCCAGAUAACUUGACAGGAAUGACAAUUUCCCUGCACAUUUGCGGCUUCACAACACAGCCAUAAGCUGUGACAUGUUUUGUUUUAUAAUGCUCAGCAGUGUUACACACAGCUUGGUUUGGAGGGGAGGGGGAAGAAUUGCUCAAGAUGAGAAGUAUUUUAAAUGUCUCCUGAGUGAGGAAAAUGUAUUUCCACAGUGGAAUGCAUUACUGUUACACGCUGCUUCCAA